UACGUAGGGUGCGAGCGUUAAUCGGAAUUACUGGGCGUAAAGCGUGCGGAGGCGGUUCGUUGUGUCCGUCGUGAAAGCCCCGGGCUUAACCUGGGAACUGCGAUGGAAACUAGCGAGCUGGAGUGUGGCAGAGGGGGGUGGAAUUCCGCGUGUAGCAGUGAAAUGCGUAGAGAUGCGGAGGAACACCGAUGGCGAAGGCAGCCCCCUGGGCUAACACUGACGCUCAGGCACGAAAGCGUGGGGAGCAAACAGG
rnacentral:rRNA from 1 species